rnacentral:misc_RNA from 1 species
UAUAGGCACAAGGCCCAUUGAUACAUUCUGUUACAUACUGUGGGGUAUAUGAAAACAUAGGCCUGGAAAUGCAAGGAAAGCUGGCUUUGACGCGCAGCAGUCCUCCCGACCGAGUUGCCUCGGAAAGUCAUCCAGGUCUACAAAAGGUGCACAGGUGGAGAGAUAAAGAUGGCGGGCGUGCACAUACCCCCGAGAGGGCCAGCAACAACCAACACCAAGUUCAUUCAAUAAUGAUCCUUCCGCAGGUUCACCUACGGAAACCUUGUUACGACUUUUACUUCCUCUAAAUGACCAAGA